rnacentral:rRNA from 1 species
ACCCAGACUCCUACGGGAGGCAGCAGUGGGGGAUAUUGCACAAUGGGGGAAACCCUGAUGCAGCGACGCCGCGUGGGUGAAGAAGCGCCUCGGCGCGUAAAGCCCUGUCAGCAGGGAAGAAAAUGACGGUACCUGAAGAAGAAGCCCCGGCUAACUACGUGCCAGCAGCCGCGGUAAUACGUAGGGGGCAAGCGUUAUCCGGAUUUACUGGGUGUAAAGGGGGCGCAGACGGCAGCGCAAGCCAGGAGUGAAAGCCCGGGGCCCAACCCCGGGACUGCUCUUGGAACUGCGCGGCUGGAGUGCAGGAGGGGCAGGCGGAAUUCCUGGUGUAGCGGUGAAAUGCGUAGAUAUUAGGAGGAACACCAGUGGCGAAGGCGGCCUGCUGGGCUUUUACUGACGCUGAGGCUCGAAAGUGUGGGGAGCAAACAGGAUUAGAUACCCCGGUAAU